UGUGGACUCUCUCCUAAGAGCCGAGGAUUGCCACUAUCCUGCAGCUAAUUAGCAUGGCUACACAGCCUCUGAGGUUAGCAAGGUAAUUAGUUUCAGAGGUCUUCUCGUCCCGGGUCUCAGCACCAACUCUUCCCGAGUUUCGGCACCAACUCUUACACGCGUUCUCGACCGGCCAGGAAAGACGCAACAAACCGGAAUCUUCUGUGGCAAAGCUUUAUUGCUUACAUCUUCAGGAGCCAGAGAGCAAGAGAGCAAGAGCAAGAGAGAGCAAGAUAGCAAGAAAAAGAACAAGAACAAGAAAGCAAGAGAAAGAAUGGCAAAACCCCGUCCCUUUUAAGGAGAAUUAUCCUCCGCCUAGGACGUAUUACUCCCUGAUUGGCUGCAGCCCAUCGGCCCAGUUGUCAUCACGAGAAAGGCAGAACACAUGGCGGGAAAACUGCCC
rnacentral:lncRNA from 1 species